rnacentral:lncRNA from 10 species
CUGGCACAACAUAAUUUGUAGCCCUCAAUAUUCACUCUUCUGACUCUUCAUUGAGUCCCCAGGAAAGUACUUCUCGGUAUCUCUCGCUCGUAUCCUCUCAGUUCAAAUGCACUGAAAGGCGGUGCGUGUGCUGUUGGCAGCAUUAGGGCAGAUAACGUCUGAAGUACAGGGAGGAUUUGAACAGUGGAAACACAGAUAUAAAGGUAAAUGCUAUCUAAGCCACAGUAACCUUGAGAUACUGUGGGCCUGGGGCAGAGAAGAG